UACGUAGGAUGCGAGCGUUAAUCGGAAUUACUGGGCGUAAAGCGUGCGCAGGCGGUUUUGUAAGCCAGAUGUGAAAUCCCCGGGCUCAACCUGGGAAUGGCAUUUGGGACUGCAAGGCUUGAGUGCGGCAGAGGAGAGUGGAAUUCCUGGUGUAGCGGUGAAAUGCGCAGAUAUCAGGAAGAACACCAAUGGCGAAGGCAGCUCUCUGGGACGGUACUGACGCUGAGACGCGAAAGCGUGGGGAGCGAACAGG
rnacentral:rRNA from 1 species